rnacentral:tRNA from 1 species
AAUCUUAUAGUCUAUUUAUAAGUUAUGACAUUAAAUUGCAAGUUUAAAAGAGGAUGAAAGUUUCCUAAGGUUU